rnacentral:rRNA from 1 species
GACAGAGGGUGCAAGCGUUGUUCGGAAUUACUGGGCGUAAAGCGUGUGUAGGCGGCCAUGUAAGUCGGAUGUGAAAGCCCCGGGCUUAACCCGGGAAGUGCAUUCGAUACUGCGUGGCUUGAGUAUCGGAGAGGUUGGUGGAAUUCUCGGUGUAGAGGUGAAAUUCGUAGAUAUCGAGAGGAACACCGGUGGCGAAGGCGGCCAACUGGACGAAUACUGACGCUGAGACACGAAAGCGUGGGGAGCAAACAGG